CACCGGCGGCUCGAGUGGUGGCCACUUUUAUUGGGUCUAAAGCGUCCGUAGCCGGCUUGGCAAGUCCCCUGUGAAAUCUGGCGGCUUAACCGUCAGGCGUCCAGAGGAUACUGCCAGGCUUGGGACCGGGAGAGGUGAGAGGUACCUCAGGGGUAGGGGUGAAAUCUUGUGAUCCCUGAGGGACCACCAGUGGCGAAGGCGUCUCACUAGAACGGGUCCGACGGUCAGGGACGAAAGCUGGGGGCACGAACCGG
rnacentral:rRNA from 1 species